GAUAAACGCUAGCGGCAGGCUUAACACAUGCAAGUCGAGGGGCAGCAUAGAUUGUAGCAAUACAAUUGGUGGCGACCGGCGCACGGGUGCGUAACGCGUAUGCAACCUACCCGUCACAGGGGGAUAAUCCGGAGAAAUUCGGAUUAAUACCCCAUAACAUCACGAAAAGGCAUCUUUUUGUGAUUAAAGCUCCGGCGGUUAAAGAUUGGCAUGCGUGCCAGUAGCUUGUUGGUGAGGUAACGGCUCACCAAGGCUACGACGGCUAGGGGGUCUGAGAGGAUGAUCCCCCACACUGGUACUGAGACACGGACCAGACUCCUACGGGAGGCAGCAGUGAGGAAUAUUGGGCAAUGGGCGCAAGCCUGACCCAGCCAUGCCGCGUGAAGGAUGAAUGCCCUAUGGGUUGUAAACUUCUUUUGUACGGGACGAAACUCUCGGUCGUGACCGGGAUUGACUGUACCGUGCGAAUAAGCAUCGGCUAACUCCGUGCCAGCCGCCGCGGUAA
rnacentral:rRNA from 1 species